rnacentral:rRNA from 1 species
CCUACGGGUGGCAGCAGUAAGGAAUAUUGGACAAUGGGCGCAAGCCUGAUCCAGCCAUGCCGCGUGAAGGAUGAAGGCCCUAUGGGUCGUAAACUUCUUUUAUACGGGAAAAAACCCCUUGAUGCGUCGAGGGUUGAUGGUACUGUAAGAAUAAGGGUCGGCUAACUUCGUGCCAGCAGCCGCGGUAAUACGAAGGACCCGAGCGUUAUCCGGAUUUAUUGGGUUUAAAGGGUGCGUAGGCGGAUUGGUAAGUCAGUGGUGAAAGCCUCUCGCUCAACGGGAGAACUGCCAUUGAUACUGCCAGUCUUGAGUAUGGUUGAGGUGGGCGGAAUGUGUCAUGUAGCGGUGAAAUGCUUAGAUAUGACACAGAACACCGAUUGCGAAGGCAGCUCGCUAAGCCAUAACUGACGCUGAGGCACGAAAGCGUGGGGAGCAAACAGGAUUAGAUACCCCUGUAGUC